GACGAACGCUGGCGGCGUGCUUAACACAUGCAAGUCGAACGGAAAGGCCCUGCCUUUGUGGGGUGCUCGAGUGGCGAACGGGUGAGUAACACGUGAGUAACCUGCCCUUGACUUUGGGAUAACUUCAGGAAACUGGGGCUAAUACCGGAUAGGAGCUCCUGCUGCAUGGUGGGGGUUGGAAAGUUUCGGCGGGUGGGGAUGGACUCGCGGCUUAUCAGCUUGUUGGUGGGGUAGUGGCAUACCAAGGCCUUGACUGGUAGCCGGCCUGAGAGGGUGACCGGCCACAUUGGGACUGAGGUACGGCCCAGACUCCUACGGGAGGCAGCAGUGGGGAAUAUUGCACAAUGGGCGGACGCCUGAUGCAGCAACGCCGCGGGUGGGAUGACGGCCUUCGGGUUGUAAACCGCUUUCGCCUGUGACGAAGCGUGAGUGACGGUAAUGGGUAAAGAAGCACCGGCUAACUACGUG
rnacentral:rRNA from 1 species